UACGGGGGGAGCAAGCGUUGUUCGGAUUUACUGGGCGUAAAGGGCGCGUAGGCGGUCAGCACAAGUCAGUUGUGAAAUCUCCGGGCUUAACUCGGAAAGGUCAACUGAUACUGUGCGACUAGAGUGCAGAAGGGGCAACUGGAAUUCUCGGUGUAGCGGUGAAAUGCGUAGAUAUCGGGAGGAACACCGGUGGCGAAGGCGGCGACCUGGGUCGAGACUGACGCUGAGGCGCGAAAGCGUGGGGAGCAAACAGG
rnacentral:rRNA from 1 species